GGAAAUUAUACCCAGUUUCAUCUGUCUGUAGUAGAAGAAGAACAGAAUGCGGCCAAAGAGAAAACGCUUCAGGCGUUGCCAACACAAGACAUCACAGCGGCAUCUCGACACCAGAGCAGCAGAGCGAAAACUAGACUUACAACCGCCCCGCAGGUCUCUAAGGAACUCAUUGAAGGGUUUCCAGACGCCGCUCUCUAUUCACUCGUUGCCGUCUUUGGUGGGCUGCUGCUGGUGACUGUCAUCCUGGUCACGGUUUUCAAGAGCAAAUGUCGCAAAGUGAAAGAAGUCGGAGUCGCUGCAGACGGGAAAAAGCUCGACUUCGUGGAAGCGCAGGAAGUGUGUGGAGGAGAAGAUGUGUAUCAGAAUCAUGACUCUAUGGUGAUGAGGUCACAGCAGGUCGCCUCCUGGCAACAACAUGCCAGCUGUCACUUCAGUGAUGUGGACGAAGAUGAAGCUGACUAUGAAAACGUCACAGCAGCUGAAGACAUCUACUGCAACCAGGAUUUCCAAAAAUAUAAGUGACGGAGAGCAAGUUUAGCGCUUAACUAAUGCACAUUUUAAUUUGUGGCUUCUCUGAAAAUACUCAGAAAAUAAUAUUUUCUUCUCUGAAAAUAUUGCAGUGGUUAUCCAGAAUUAAUUUCUCUGUGUCUCAAGAUUUAUAGAAAUAUUUUCCGUUUAAAUUUGUGUUGCUUUAAUGUUUCUUUUUCACUGCACACAUUUGCUUGAUUUUAUUGAAACAAUCAUAUUAUUAUCUAUACAAAAACAGCUACAUAUUAACCAUAUGUAAAUAAAAAUAUGUACAAAUAAACAAGUAGAGUUGAGAGGAA